AGCGAACGCUGGCGGCAGGCCUAACACAUGCAGGUCGAACGGAUCCUUCGGGAUUAGUGGCGGACGGGUGAGUAACACGUGGGAACGUGCCCUUUGGUUCGGAACAACUCAGGGAAACUUGAGCUAAUACCGGAUGUGCCCUUCGGGGGAAAGAUUUAUCGCCAUUGGAGCGGCCCGCGUCUGAUUAGCUAGUUGGUGAGGUAACGGCCCACCAAGGCGACGAUCAGUAGCUGGUCUGAGAGGAUGAUCAGCCACACUGGGACUGAGACACGGCCCAGACUCCUACGGGAGGCAGCAGUGGGGAAUCUUGCGCAAUGGGCGAAAGCCUGACGCAGCCAUGCCGCGUGAAUGAUGAAGGUCUUAGGAUUGUAAAAUUCUUUCAGCGGGGACGAUAAUGACGGUACCCGCAGAAGAAGCUCCGGCUAACUUCGUG
rnacentral:rRNA from 1 species